rnacentral:misc_RNA from 1 species
GAUGAAGAACGCAGCGAAAUGCGAUAAGUAAUGUGAAUUGCAGAAUUCAGUUAAUCAUCGAAUCUUUGAACGCACAUUGCGCCCGCCAGUAUUCUGGCGGGCAUGCCUGUUCGAGCGUCAUUUCAACCAUCAAGCCCCAGGCUUGUGUUGGGGACCUGCGGCUGCCGCAGGCCCUGAAAACCAGUGGCGGGCUCGCUGUCACACCGGGCGUAGUAGAUUUUAUCUCGCUCAGGGCGUGCUGCGGGUUCCGGCCGUUAAAAAGCCUUUUUUACCCAAGGUUGACCUCGGAUCAGGUAGGAAGACCCGCUGAACUUAAGCAUAUCAAUAAGCGGAGGA